ACAGGCAGCACUUUGGGUUCCUGGAAGUUGUAAUUAAGCGCAUGACAAUUCCAUAGUGGGCAGACAACCAUCUGCAAAGCUCUUGGGGGACACCUCACCAACCCAUCCACCAGAGGAUUCUGAUGGAGCUUUUAAGAGGCCUGAUCCAAAGCCCACUGAAACCAAUAUGAGUUUGGCCAGUGACCUCAGUGGAAUUUGGAUCAGACCCAUGAAGACUCUGGGGUUAUAAGGUCCCACAGAAAUCACUGUUUUGUUUUGGGGGUGGGUUGCACUUCUGUGCUCAGUUAGGUUGGGCAAAGGGAGGAUGCACUAAUAAACUUUAUGAAACAACAUAUUAGUAUAGCUUUUACUUUAACAGAAGUAUUUUCACUUUUGCUUUUAAAGCAAACAGUCUGAAACUUCCAAAACUUAAUGCUGGAUACAAGUCAGGAUUCAUGGUAAAAUCUCUGACUUGGGCAAAUGAUUGUGAGAACUCUUUUGUGAAGAGCUGAAUGACAAAAUAUAUUGAUAAGGGGACUGUGUGGUACAUGGCUGAGGAUAGAUGCAUUUGAAUUGAGCACUGUAAUGGUAUGCUAAAAUUAGUCCGAUUUGCAUUUAUAAUGUUGAUGUUUGCUAACAGAAAUUACUAACAGUCAUGGAUAGUGUUUUUUUUUUUAAGAGAAGAGGAAAACAAUUGAAUAAAACAAGUUGGAGAUCACGUAGAGAGAAGAUGAAAUUGUGUGAUUUUUAAAAAAUAAAUCUAUUUGAUAGCAGCACGGGACUCCAAAAUUUGUUACACUCCUGCACCCACUGCAUCUGUGGAUAAUGAAGAUAAACUGUCCGGUCCCAGUUUUGUUGCUAUUCAGUUUCCUUUUGUGCUGCUUCUUCACUAGCACAAUAGCAUCGUUGAUUGUAUUUAUAAUUCUACAGAUGAAAGCUGACUUUAAUAAUAAUAAUAAAAAAAACAACUUUUCAUUCAAAUCAA